AUUGAACGCUGGCGGCAGGCUUAACACAUGCAAGUCGAACGAGUGGCGGACGGGUGAGUAAUGUAUGGGAAACUGCCUGAUGGCGGGGGAUAACUACUGGAAACGGUGGCUAAUACCGCAUACUAUCAGAUGUGCCCAGAUGGGAUUAGCUAGUAGGUGGGGUAAAGGCUCACCUAGGCGACGAUCCCUAGCUGGUUUGAGAGGAUGACCAGCCACACUGGAACUGAGACACGGUCCAGACUCCUACGGGAGGCAGCAGUGGGGAAUAUUGGACAAUGGGGGCAAGCCUGAUGCAGCCAUGCCGCGUGUAUGAAGAAGGCCUUCGGGUUGUAAAGUACUUUCAGCGGGGAGGCGUUACUCGCAGAAGAAGCACCGGCUAACUCCGUGCCAGCAGCCGCGGUAAUAC
rnacentral:rRNA from 1 species